AGAGGGUGCGAGCGUUAAUCGGAUUUACUGGGCGUAAAGCGUGCGUAGGCGGCUUUUUAAGUCGGAUGUGAAAUCCCUGAGCUUAACUUAGGAAUUGCAUUCGAUACUGGGAAGCUAGAGUAUGGGAGAGGAUGGUAGAAUUCCAGGUGUAGCGGUGAAAUGCGUAGAGAUCUGGAGGAAUACCGAUGGCGAAGGCAGCCAUCUGGCCUAAUACUGACGCUGAGGUACGAAAGCAUGGGGAGCAAAC
rnacentral:rRNA from 1 species